UUAAGAAAAUGAGAGACAGUUCGUAUGUCUCUUUGUUUAGAAGAACAGCGAGGUAUAGCGAAGUCUCAACGGCCGAGAUAUCGUUUCAGUCGUCAUUUGUUGCAUUGGCGAUUUGAUUGUUGCUCGUCUACAC